GGACUGUCCACAGCAGCUGACUAUGAUUUGCCUCAUGCUCUAGCAGAGGCAAGGUUUUACCUGCUGUAGAUAGUUUCUACAAUUGUGUAAUGUUUGGAAUUCUAGGAAGUUUUCAGAGGGUAUAGAAAUGCUAGAGCUCCUUUAGGCGGGGAGGGUGGCUGUUGUUCAUUUAAUGAGGUUGGUUGAAGUUUUUUAGUAGCAUGGUCAAGAAGAAACAAUUUAGAUGCAGAGAUUUUGCUAAUUUCUCUCUCUCCUCUCUCCGUGUUUCUCUCCUUUCUAGUGUUAGGGGUUGAAACAGGGAUUAAUGGGUAGGAAAAAGAAGAACCCCUGAAGAAGGAAAGACAGGCUACGCUGAUCAGCAUCUGGAUUAGAUGUGCCUUUAACUUACAUCUUCAGGCCUGGUUGGAUUUGUCAGGAUAUAAGGACAUUGAAAAUCAAUGAUUCCAGAACAAUCACGAGGACUUCUAGCACACCCAGACUGAUCUGCAGAAAAAUUGAAUCCAUUUCCUGGAAAAGAAGUCCCAUUCAAUGCAGCAAGAUCAGAGAAUAUGGAGUGGAGAGAUGGCUCAGUCAUGAAGAGCACGUAUUGUUAUGGAAGAGGACCUGAUUUCAAUUCCCAGCACCCACCUUGGUGGCUCACAACUGGCUGUAACUCCAGUUCCACAGAAUCUACCACCCUUGAUUUACCAAUGAGUGCACGUGUGGACAUGUGAGUGCAUACACACUUACACAUGCACCAAGC
rnacentral:sRNA from 1 species